rnacentral:pre_miRNA from 1 species
UUAACUCGAAUUUGUACGGAGUUGGAACGUUUGCCUACGUUUGCCGCUAGGGGGCGCUGUUCCGACUGCACACGGGCUCAACCUC